GUGUGCGCAAAAUCGGGUUUGGGUUCCCGUAGGGAACGGUGGGCGUGGCUUGAGGAAGGACAUUUGUGAUUGGUGGGUUCUGCCGUGACCGGGAAGUUCGAACGGAAGUCUGGGGAAGAGCCGGCGAAGUGCCAAGACUUGAAGAACCGAGUACUACCAGCUGGAGCUAGCGGCAGUUGUGGCGCAUGCGCAGCAGCCCGGGUGGCCGCACGUCGCCGUUCAGCAAUAUGUAACGUAUAGACUUCUGCAUAUACCAAGCUCCCUGUUUCUGUAGGUUCACUUGCGAUUUAUCUGGUCUUUCAGGACUUGAAAGGGAGACAGUCCCAAAGAUAUGGACAAGAAGAAUAAACAGAUGCUUUUGCAGCUCACAUUGGUUGGGAAGAUCUGGCACAAGUGAAGUACCUAUAAGGAGCAGCAGAGUCAAUGUGGUGAUCCCGUGGAUGAACAACUGAAACCUGAUAUACUUGACAGCAGAAAAUAAAAAGCAAAUUGAAAAGGAGAGAGUGUGGAGAUAAACAGGGAAAUGAAAGAACUGAUGAAGUCAUUGGGAUGGACUUAAAAAGCUGGGAGUAAGAUCUUUGUUUAUGAUUGAACUUAAGAGAGAAUUCAGGGACCAUCUACCUUUGAUGUCAAUGAGAAAGUAAAGAGGAAACACAUUAAGAGAUACCCUUUGGUGAAAAACACAUAGACAGAAGUAUCCGUUGAUACAUCACAUUAUUUAUUCAACAGACUCUUAGUGAGAACUUACUGUGUAUGAAGGACUAUGGACUGAAAGAUAUAUAUGAAAGAACUUUUGGUCCAAGGAAUUUACAGGAUAAUUGAAGAAAUACAAAUACAAGUCACUUCUGUGAAGCAGCAGAGACACAGAUGAGGAAUUGUAAUAUUUGUGAAAUCAAAGUGGUAAAAGUAGUCAAAAAAGUCCUUACAGAAUGGUAUUCAAAAUGGGCCUUAAGAUAGAAAUCAGACUGAUUGUUAGCCGGACAACAAAGAUAGAAAGGACAAGACAGGAGAAGAGACCAAAUACAAAGGCAUGUGGGGGUAGGAAAGCAUGGCAUGGGUAGAAAAUGCCAGGUAAAUAAUGAGUUUAGUAUGUGGGGGCAUGGCAAAUAAUGACUCUGGUUUCUGCAAAACUCCAGGGAAAAGAAAAUGAGAUCCUGAAAUAUGGCAGUAACAGAGUAGGAGGGAAAAUAGGAUUAACUAGAGAAAUAUUUAGAAACUAAGAAUCUCAGGAUUUAGUACUUCUUGGGGAAGCCAUCAUGAAUGCUGACUCCAAAGCUCAUUAUCAACAAACUAAAAUAUUGAUACCUUAAAGUUAGAAUCAAGUCCUACCCUCCUUUUAGAAACUAUAAGAAAUAGUUCUGUCUUGUCUCACAUCUCUACCUCUGUUAAUCUCCAUUUGGGCCAAGCUUCCUCAACAUGUCUGUUCUCAUAUUACUCCAAUUACAAUGUCCAGGGCCUUCAAGUUGCAGAAGUCAUGGAGUUGCAUUCUAUAUGAAUUGUGAAUUAGGUACAAAGUGAAUAAUGCCCUACAGCUUCUGAAAUCUUUCAUCGUGACCUCCAAAAUGGCCCCCAGCAUGUCUAACUCUGCGAUGAACAAAAUACCUUAUGACAUCAACCUGUUUCCUGAGGUUCCUUGCAUUAAUGGAAAUUGGCCUGAGCUCUGAUGUCUUUGCUUCUCUUGCAGCCCUCCCAUGUCAAAGCUGUUUUUCAUUUCACCUGUUUUUUUUUUUUUUAGGUAUUUUUACAUUUAUUUUCAUGCCUUUAACACCUUAUGAAUUUAUGUGACUCAUUCAAGAUUAUAUCUGCCUUCCUUUCAAACUAGCUAUGAGAUAUUUGAUUCUCCCUGGACAAACUGUUCAUUCUACACAACUGGCAAUCUCCACAGUUGAUUCUUUAAAGUGGGCUGAUUCCAACCUCAGAAAAGGGUAUCAAUGGAAUAAGCUUUUUUAUUUGUAUUAUACCUUACUUUCUGGGAUAUAUGUGCAGAACAUGCAGGUUUGUUAAGUAGAUAUACAUGUGCCAUGGUGUUUUGCUGCACCCAUCAACCCAUCAUCUACAUUAGGUAUUUCUCCUGAUGCUAUCCCUCCCCUAGUCACCCACCCCCCGACAGGCCUUGGUGUGUGAUAUUCCCCUCCCUGUGUCCAUGUGUUCUCAUUGUUCAACUCCCACUUAUGAGUGAGAACAUGUGGUGUUUGGUGUUCUGUUCCUGUGUUGGCUUGCUGAGAAUAAUGGUUUCCAGCUUUAUCCAUGUCCCAGUAAAGGACAUGAACUCAUCCUUGUUUAUGGCUGCAUAGUAUUCCAUGGUGUAUAUGUGCCACAUUUUCUAUAUCUGGUCUAUCAUUGUCGGGCAUUUGGGUUGGUUCCAUGUCUCAACUAUUGUGAAUAGUGCUGCAAUAAACAUGUCUGCAUGUGUCUUUAUAGUAGAAUGACUUAUAAUCCUUUGAGUAUAUACCCAGUAAUGGGAUUGCUGGGUCAAAUGAUAUUUCUCGUUCUAGAUCCUUGAGGAAUCACCACACUGUCUUCCAUAAUGGUUGAACUAAUUUACACUCCCACCAACAAUGUAAAAGUGUUCCUAUUUCUCCACAUCCUCUCCAGCAUCUGUCUCCUGAUUUUUUAAUGAUUGCCAUUCUAACUGGCAUGAGAUGGUAUCUCAAUAUGGUUUUGAUUUGUAUUUCUCUAAUGACCAGUGAUGAUGAUCUUUACAAUUUGGUAUGUUUUUGCAGUGGCUAGUACUUGUUUUUCUUUUCCAGGUUUAGUACUUUUUUCAGGAGCACUGAAUCCCUCAGCAUUUGCUUGUCAGUAAAGGAUUUUAUUUCUCCUUUGAUUAUGAAGGAGAGUUUGACAGGAUAUGAAAUUCUGGGUUGAAAAUUCUUUUCUUUAAGAAUGUUGAAUAUUGGCCCCAAUUAUUUUGUGGCUUUUAGGGUUUCUGCAGAGAUCCUCUGUUAGUCUGUUGGGCUUCCCUUUGUGGGUAACCUGACCUUUCUCCCUAGCUGCCCUUAACAUUUUUUCCGUAUUUUCAACCUUGGUGAAUCUGAUGAUUAUGUGUCUUGGGGCUGCUUUUCUUGAGAAGUAUCUUUGUAAUGUUCUCUGUAUAUCCUGAAUUUCAGUGUUGGCCUGUCUUGCCGACUUGAGGAAGUUCUUCUGGUUAAUAUCUUUUAGAAUGUUUUUCACCUUGGUUCCAUUCGCCCUGUCACUUUCAGGUACACCAAUCAAACAUAGGUUUGUUCUUUUCACAUAGUCCCAUAUUUCUUGGAGGCUUUGUUUGUUCCUUUCCUUUCUUUUUUCUCUAAUCUUGUUUUCAUGCUUUAUUUCAUUAAGUUGAUCUUCAAUCUCAUAUCUUUUCUUCUGCUUGAUCAAUUUGCCUGUUGAUACUUGUGUAUGUUUCAUAAAGUUCUCAUGCUGUGUUUUUCAGCUCCGUCAGGUCAUUUAUGUUCUUCUCUAAACUGGUUAUUCUAGUUAGCAAUUCCUCUAACCUUUUUUCAAGGUUUUCUUAGCUUCCUUGCGUUGGGCUAGAACAUGCUUCUUUAGCUCGAAGGAGUUUGUUUCAUGUUUUUUCUCUCCCCCUGAGUAUCUCAGGGCUAAGAGUUGGAAUAGAUAUUUUUGUGUCCCAUUGUUGCUUUCAAACCUUUUUACGCUCAUCUUUCUAUAGAUGAUCUCUUUCCUCAAAAUUCAUUCCCCCUUCUUCCCACCUUAUUGCUAAUAUUUAAUGUCUUCUCUCCCCUUUCAUCCACUGGAAACUUUAGCUUUUGGUUCAUAUUUCACAUUUCACCUCCUUCUGCUUUUUUUUUUUUUUUUUUUUUUUUUUUUGAGACAAGAUUCUUGCUCUGUUGCCCAGGUUGGAGUGCAUUGGUGUGAUCUUGGCUCAUUGCAACUUCCACUUCCCAGGUUCAAGAGAUUCUCCUGCCUCAGCCUCCCAUGCAGCUGAGACUACAGAUGUGUGCCAUCAUGCCUGGCUAAUUUUUUGUAUUUUUUGUAAAGACGAGGUUUCACCAUGUUAGCCAGGAUGUUCUCAAUCUCCUGACCUUGUGAUCUGCCUGCCUCAGCCUCCCAAAGUGCUGGGAUUAUAGGCGUGAAUCAUGCACCCGGCCUCCUUCUGCUUUUUCUGAUUAAAAUUUUAUUCAUGCAGAUAACCCAUUCUACACUUGCUUUCUCAGUUCCUUGAUCUUACCUCUAACGCCUUGUCUUGCAUUUCACUCUGGGCACUCUCCUAUAUCCAUUUCCCAAAUUUAUGAGAACCAAAGUUUUACACUAUCUCUGAAAUCUUGGCUGAAAUAUUUGACUUUUUCACCAAUAUCUUUUUAUCCUUUGUGCUUUUUUUUUCUGUAGAACUCCUACAGCCACAAUUUGUUGAUUUAAUCCAGACUCUCAAUACCUUGACCCACUGAUGUUCAUGAUUAAUCAAUCCCUUCUUUCUUCUACCUUCCUCUUUGAUUAGCUUACAUUCUAUAGGUGAUUGUUAUGAUGAUUCUUUUGAUAAUACCUAGCUUUACUUCUUUAUUCAUUCUGCUUGGAGAGGUGGAGAAACUUGUCUGAUUGGAAAAUUUGGGAAGAAUAUACUUGUAUACUCAGCCCAAUUCCUUUUUUUUAGCCUACUCUCUGCAGGUGGGUAAUAAACCCAUACAUUUCUCUGUAAACCUCUGACCUUGUGCCAAGAUGGAAAGAGACCUGCCCUGUUGCAGUGCUGCACUGUGGGUGGGUGAAUACGCUCAUUCUGGGGUUUGGUAUUAGGAAACUCAUUUGCCCGCACAUAUAAAGUAUAGUCAUUAAUAUAUCAGGUUAAUAAAUGUGAUAAUUUGGCUUCUUCUAUCUUAUUUGUCUCCCUUCUCAAUUGUUCAGAAUUUUAGCAGGGAAGAUUUUGGUUUAUUUGGUUUCCUCAAAGACCUCAAAUUUAUAUCUCCCUUCUCUCUCUUCUGUAUUGUUAAAUAUAAGCAUGAGCAGUAUGGUAUGCAUUAUUCUGCACUUUGUUCUUUUCACUCAAUUAUAUAUCAUAGAAUUAUUUUCCUAUUGUCACAUACAAAUUUAGUUAUUUCUUUUAAUAAGAUACAUAGUAUUUCAGUAUGUAGUAGUACCCCGAAAAUGUAACACUUUUUGAGACAGUGUUGCUGUUGAUGAACAUUUUGGUUUUCUGUCAUUUGAUAAUACAAAUAGUACUACAACUGAAAUUACUUGUAUAUGCAUUUUCUAUGUGUAUGAGAGGAGAGGUUUUUCUUUGUGCACUGUAGGAGAGUUUUCACAUUAAAUUCAUAAUUUUAAACUUCAACUGAGACACUCAACAUGACCUGGCAGUAUUAUUUUAUUUACCAAGUAAGUGCAGUUUCCCACUUUGAGUCAGUUAUUGUAUACCUUCCUUCACACUCGCCUGAGGACCCUAAUGACAAUAUUUUAUAUUUAAUUUUAGGGAAUUCAUCAGACAGGAGUACUCUCAUCUUCCCACUAUCAAAAUUUGUAAACCUAACUAUGUAUGCCAUCUUUUCUUUCCUUCUGUAACAAUGAAGGAUAUGUUUCUACUUCCACCGUUUGUCUUCUGGAUCCUACUUCUCCUCUCCUCAAGGCCUUCAUCUUUUUCAGUUCUACCUUCCCUGCCUGUAUCACCACUCUUUCCUAUCCACAUUUUAAGAGAAUAUUUUGUAAAGCCUUCCACUAUCUGUUAUCCUCUAGCCACCACCAUUUCUCUGAAUCCUUUCACAGUUAAACUUGUGGAAAAUUAGCUUUAUUUCUCACUUCUUAUCGAUUCUUCAACUCAGACCUGACUGGUUACUAUACUCAUCACUCCACUGGCACUAUUCUUAUUAGAGUCACCAGUGAUGUGCAUGCUGUCAGAUGUAAAAGGUAUGUCUCUGUCUUCAUUUAGCCCAGCUUCUUAGCAUCUUAUAAAGUACUUAAAGACCUUUUCCUUGAACACUCUUCUUGGUUGUCUUUAGAGAAAUCAUGAAAACUGUUGUCUCUUCAUUUCUCAACUACUUCACUAGCUGUUCCUUCUCAGUCUGUUUUCUUUGUUUAUCUUUUCUCUAAAUAUUCAAGUUAAUUACAGUUCAGUUCUAGGGUCAUUCAUAUAUUUUUAAAAUACAUUUUCUUUCUGAGUAAUAUCAUUAAUUACCAUUAAUUGCUAGUGCAUUUUUUUUUUUUUUUUGAGACAGGAUCUAUGUUGCCCAGGCUGGAGUGCAGUGGCACAACCACAGUUCACUGCAGCCUCUACUUCCCGGGUCUCAGGUAAUUAUCCUGCCUUAGCCUCCCAAGUAGCUGGGACCACAAGCAUGCACUACCACACCCUGCUACUUUUUGUAGAGAUGGGGUUUUCUCAUGUUGCCCAGGCUAGUCUCAAACUCCUAGAUACAAGCCAUCUGCCCACCUCAGCUGCCCAAAGUGCUGAGGUUAUAGGUGUAAGCCACUGUGCCUAGCUUUAUUAACAGUGCUUUUAGUCCCUGUCUAUAGACUGAUGAAUCCAAAAUUUACAUCUCCAGCUCAGAAUAUUUUUUGAGAGAGAGAGUCUCACCCUGUUUUCCAAGCUGGAAUGCAGUGGCAUGAUCAUAGCUAACUGCAGUGUGAAACACCUGGGCUUAAGCAAUCCUCCCAUCUUAGCCUCCUCAGUAGCAAGGACUACAGGUACAUGCCCAACUAAUUUUUGUAUUUUAUUUUUUAAUAAAGACAAGGUGUUGCUAUGUAUGUUGCCCAGGCUGGUCUUGAACUCCUGGCCUCAAGCAAUACUCCUAUCUCAGCCCAAAGCACUGGGAUUACAGGUGUGAGUCACCAUGCCCAGCCCAGAACUUUUAUUUUCACAUAUUCUAUUAGGUAGAGUUGUAUCAUACAAGCAUUUAAUUUAAAUGCCGAUGUGGAACGUUCUUCCUAAUGUAAGAUUUAAAUUUUAACUGAUAUAUCUACUUGGGUGUCUCACAGACACUCAGUAUGUCCAAAAUAGAUACCUUUGUUUUCGCUUAAACCUGUCCCUCCUGCCUUCAGACUUCCUUGUCUCAGUCAACCAAUCCAGCAUCCUCCCAAAUUCUGAUUACUUAACCCAUAAAUCUUAGUGUGAUAUGUACUUAAAAUAAAAUCCACACUUCUUACCAUGACCUAAACAUUAUAUGACCUAUGUGUUAUCCAUAUUACUAUGACCUAAACAUUAUAUGACCUAUGUAUUAUCCAUAUUUCCAAUGAUAACUCUUUCCAUUUUCCCUUUUGCCCAUGGCGUUUCAUCCAUACUGGUUGUUGAUUGCCUAGAACCCACCUCUGCAGCUUUAGGGCUUUUGUCUUUCUCUGCCUGAUUCAUUCUUCUGCUGUUUUCUUGGCUAGGUCCUUAUUUUUUCAGGUAUCAAUUUGCACCUGUCUAAAGAAGUCUUUUCUAACUUUUCUAUUUAAGGUAGGUUAUCCUCUUCCCACACUAUAUUCUUAUCUCAGCCUUCUGUGGAUUUAACUUGAAUCUUUCUAUCUAAAACUCAAAGAAGGCAUGUAUUAAUUAGGGAAGAAUGCACAUGGGCAUAGGUAAAUUUAGGGAACAGAUGGUAUUCGUCUGUUCUCACACUGCUAAUAAAGACAUACACAAGACUGGGUAAUUUAUAAAGGAAAGAAGUUUAAUUGGCUCACCAUUCCACAUGGCUGGGGAGGACUCAUAAUCAUGGCUGAAGGUGAAUGAAGAGCAAAGUCACAUCUUACAUGGCAGCAAGAGAGCCUGUGUAGGGGAACUCCCCUUUAUAAAACCAUCAUAUCUCAUGCAAACUACCACAAGAAUUAUCACAAGAAAAACACAGGAAAGACCCACUUCUGUGAUUCAGCUACCUCCCACGGGAUCUCUCCCACAGCAUGUGGGAAUUAUGGGCGCCACAAUUCAAGAUGAGAUUUGGGAAGGGAUACAGCCAAACCAUAUUAGAUAGACAAGAUACUAAGUUUCCUGUGAAGAAGGAAAUGGCUAUCAGUUGAGAGUAGGGGCCUUGAGAAUGGUAGAAGUUUGUAUUAGCUACUUGGGGUGAGAGAGAGGAUUUUCACCAAAUAAUUGGCAGAGUAUUAAGAAAACUGGCAGAUUAUUAAGGCUCCAGCUAAGACUAGUGUGAAUCUUUUCCACAAGCUCAGGUGUGCAAAAAAUAUCAUGUUAUUUUUUAAAGGCAAUUUAAAAUCAAUUCUAAACCUCAAAUUAAUGAGGGUGGAUGGUAAUUCAUUCUGUCAUUACUGGGACUCUCAGAGUCGUCCAAAAUCCACAGGUAUUCUGGAGCCCUGUUUUGAAAUCCAGAUACAAAGUAUCAGCUCAUACUGCUUGCUACUGAAAUAACCAUUGCUACCAAUCCUUGACCAGGUUUACAUCCAAUAACUCUGCUGCCUGCUUAGAGAAUAGAAAUAUGUUACCAGUUAGUAGUUCCUGUGCCUCUAGUCCAGCUUCCCUACUUAUCCUCUGAUGUCUUACCACAUAUCUGGUGCUAACAUUCUGGGAUCUGACAACUACUGACCUUUCCCAAUAAAAGAUGUAGUGUAAUGGUUAUAAUUGUGCCUGAAAAAGUAGAUAAAAAUAAAAAUUUAAAUAGCGUUCUAAGUCAGAUUGGAGAUAGUGGUGAAGCAUAAAAUUAAAUUAACUCUAAUAAGUCACUAAAAGAUGAGCUGCAAUCUGGUGGGAAGUGCACAAUCCUAUUUGCCAAAUCAGGUAAUUAAGUUUUGAAAACAUUUACUGUAAAACUUUAGAAAAUGUGAAAUUUGAAAUAAUGUUAGCAACACAUUUCCUGGGAAAUUAAAUUCUAGAGGAUCAGCUUGAGUAUACUCUCAGCAGUUGACAUAGCAAGCAGAGCUCAGCUGCGGUGGAUUAAGGAUGGCUGCAAAUUCUUUGACAUUCCUCCUAUGGAGAAAUGAGCUCUAAUUCCUUAAUCCUUUAAUCUAGACUUGUUUAGUGACAUGCUUCAUCAAUGGAAUACACUGAAAUAACAUUCUGGAAUUUCUAAGACUGUCGUAAAAAGCUGAGGGGUUUCUUUUGGGCUUCCUGAAAUUCUCCCUUUUGGAUCUCUGAUCAGCUAUGUGAGGAGUUUAACUACUCUGCAGGAGAGUGGAUGUGAAGAGGAUCCUACCAAAGCCCAGCCUCCUUGUCAUCCACAUGAAGACACCGGACAAAUGAGUUUACGCUGUUUUGGACCCUCCCCACCAAGCACAACCCAGUCACCAGCUGAAUACCACCAAAUUACCUUCUAGUUAAAGCCUUAUGGAGCAGAAGAAUCACCUAUUCAAUUUCUGCUUGAAUUACUGACUCAAAAUACAUCAGAUGGAGUCCUGCUCUGUCGCCCAGGCUGGAGUGCAGUGGCAUGAUCUUGGCUCACUGCAACGUCCACCUCCGGGGUUCAAGCAAUUCUCCUGCCUCUGCCUUCUGAGUAACUGGGACUACAGCAUUAUCUUGAUGAAUUGCUGUUUUUAAAGAUCACCCUUUGCCUGGAAAGUGUGCAAUAGAUCAGGCAUGAUGAAGGUUUGUGUUGAGCCUGAGAUUUUGGUCAAAUUUUGUAUAACCCCAUUGCCUGCUGUAUUAAUAUACCAUACUAUUCCUGAAUUUACUCUUUGUUUCCAGUUUGUAUACCGUAUAUUUUAGCAAAUUUGACUGGGUGGAUUCUUCCAACAAGAAAGCAUAUUUAGUAGCUAAACUAGGACUCAAAAGCAUACAAGAUUAUCAUACUCCAGAAAAAUCUAUAGAGUACUGAAACUGUUGAAAGAAAGAAAGGAAGAGAGAGAGAGAAAUAAAGAAAGAAAAAGAAGAAAGAAAAAGAAAGAAGAAAGAAAGAGGAGGGAAGGAAAGAAGGUAAGGAAGGAGGGAAGGAUGGGCGAAAAGAAGUAGGGAAGGAAGAGUUCUAUAAGUCAGGUCACAUUCCUUGAAUUUAAAUGUUAAUUAUUCCCACUGAAAAUUACCGUGGAAAUUGAUUAUAGACGUUUGUUAGGGUUUGAAUCACCUACAUUUAUCCCUAGAAAUCUAGCUAUAGUUUGAAGAAAACUUACACGAUAAUUUGUCUAUACUUAUUGCACUUGGAGGAACACUUAAAAAACACUACACAUAAACAAAAAACAAAGCAGGAACAUUGUUGUGGAGUACAAGUUCCUUAGAGAGACAAUAACAAUUAGUAUGAAAAGAGCAGCGUUGGAUCCACUGAGGACUACCAUUUCUUCAAAAGCUAAGGAGCAAUUUAGAGGAAAGCUAUCAAAAUUUGUCACCAUAUCAAUGAGUUGAUUGUUAAAUAAUGCCCUGAACUGACUUUGAAAUAACACAUGAGUAUAGCAAUGUUACAUGUAAAUGGUAAAGAAACAUCUUCUGAAUGCAUUUUAAUUUACCUUACCUUUUCUUUUUGUCAAGUAAGUUUUUUUUUCUAUCAAGUAGUCAAGAAAGCACCUGUCUCUGUUAAUGUUUUUUUGCAGUAUUAGAUUUAUACCUCUAUUAAAGGAUUUCAAAACUGCUUUGUAAUUAUCGAGAACAGAUCUCAAGUUCUCAUUUAAAAAUAAAGUUAAUGUCAUGCCCAAAGUCAUGGAGAAAUUUAGAAGUGGUGUUUAAAAUAGAAAUUUAGACUACUGACUUGAAAUCCCAUGCUCUGACCACGAGACCACACGCCUGCCCAAAGAUACUUAAAAUUUUUACUGAGCUAUUCUUCUUUGUAAUUAGAUGCAGUGAUUAGAGUGUCUUUUGCAUUACUCUGCAUUUUUCUUUUAAGUCAGGGUUGUAAGCCACAUAGGGCACUGUCCUUUGCAAAACUAAACAAGGGAUUUUCAGUUUUGCAAUACAAUCUCCUGAUAUUUGUUUAUAGGUUUCACACAUCAAAAACAAUGAAAUCUGUAAUUUUUCAAAUUACAAUCCUCUCAUUCUCUAAGUUAUGUGCCUAUGAGAAUUUGAAAAUCUUUUGAAGAGAAUGUAAUCUUUAUGCUUACAAAAUGUAGGCUUUCAUACUUGGGUGCAAUUACAAAUCAAGGCCUUUUUUCCCCAUAAUAAUCAGUUUCUCAAAGUUGUGGGUUUUCCUCAUUUGAAAAUAAAUUAAUGGGAAUUUUAAGUUAUAAUUCAUCCAGCUAUUCAAUCUUUUGAAUCUUCAAAUUAGAAACCAUUUCUACUCUCAGUUCCCAAAGAAGCAAUGGCAGAAAGUGCUUUAUAUCAGAGCAUGUAAAUUACAAUUGAUUUUUUUUUUGAUUGGGGAAAUAAAAAUAACCAGCUAAAACUAGUUAAAUUUAAAUUCAAAAAAAAGAAAGCUUUUAUGUGACUGCUCAUUGUUUUAGGUUUUUUCAUUAUAGGUAUGUAUUGUGUGACUAUAAUAUUGAGUUUAUUUUUGUUAAGUACCUGCCAAGAAAGAAAGUCAAUUCUGAAACAGCAAAAACUCAGAAGUGCUGCAGAUGGCUUUCAAAGGCAUUUGAAUUAGACAUCAUUUGAUGUUGCAAAAAACAAUGAUACCUUUUACAUCUCUAAACAUCACUUUUUAAAUUAGAGAUUGAUCUAUAAAGGAGCUAAUUUUGCAUAAUUAUUAUUCAUUUUGAGAUAAUAAUAUAUGAUAGCUACUAAAUUAUACAGUAGUUUUGUGUAGAGAUUUAUACGUAUUUUCAGAUUGCCAUCAUCACAUCAUCUAAUUAUUUAGAAAUUUCAUUUUCAGAACCUUGAAUUUUGGACAUAGGACUUUAAAAAAAGUUAUACUUUAUUUUGAGAUGAAAAUGUGGCUGUUCACAUUUUCCCAGAUCUACCUGGAGCAAUCUGCAGAGUGGGGGUGAGAUUUGGGAGUAGGGGGGUAGGUGGCAAUAGACACACACAAAACUUGUUAAUUCCCAUACAAGAAACAUGUACUUUAAAAACGACAACAAUAACAACAAAACCAGUUCAUUAUUGUUUUACAUAUUUAUUUAGUUCACUACUAUGGGCAUUUUGUUAAGGUUUCCCUGAGGAAACAUAAGGUAGAAUCAGGAACAACACUGCCCAUACAAAGAGGGAGUCUUCCAAGUAGCAAGCCCCUGUCUCUUGAUCUCAACUCUAGCAAACAUCCUGGAAGGCAAGCUCUUUGUCUAAUUUUCUCAACACUGUACCUCUAAGAUCUAGAGCAAGAAAUGAAGGACUGGAUGAAUAAUGAAAAUAAUGAUUCCUUUGGGUACCUUUUAAAUCAAGUUGCCAAAUUAACAUUAAUAUUCUUAGGUAGACUGAAGGUGAUGCCACCAAUCAGUGAAUGACAUAGGAAAUCUACACAUGGAAGGUAUAAAUACUUGAGAGAACAAAGCCGUGGCUGAAGAAAUGGCUCUGACAGUGACCACUUGGGUAAUUUGAACUUAUCCAAAAUGGACAUAAGUCAUGGACAGAACAGUGGUCUAUUCACUUCAAAAACCUCUCCUUGAAUGUAUGGGUGAAAUAUAAUAGCUGGGCUUCCUUUAAAAUUAUACUUUGAAGGGCAGGAUGGAGAGGACAGGAAAAUUAGAUGAACUAGAGAUGAUAUAAAAUUGCCUUUGUGUUAAUAAUUGUUGAAUGGGAUUCACUUUGGUGUUUGAAAUUUUCUAUAAUAAAAUGUCAACAUACUCAUCUCCACUUAAGAGCCUGACAUAAUAAACAUUUACACUGCUUAAUGUGUAAAUACAGUCUAAUCUUAGAAAGCACUUCUUACAUAGAUUAAGAAAAUUUAAAAAAAGGUUUGUCUUCAUGACAAAAAAAUUGCUUUCAGCUCUAGAUGCAACAAAUCAUGAUAGAAAUUGGUACUAGGCCGUGUGUGGUGACUCACACCUGAUAUCCUGGCACUUUGGGAGGCCAAGGUGGGUAUACAUCUAGGAGCCUAGGAGCUUGAGACCAGCCUGGGCAAGAUGGCAAAAACCUGUCUCUACAAAAAAUACACGCGCCUGUAGUCCCAGCUACUCAGGCAGCUGAGAUGGGAGGACCUGAGCCCAGGACACUGAGGCCGCAGUGAUCUGUGAUCACCACUAUACUCCAGUCUGGGAGACAGAGCAAGAUCAUGCCUCCAAAAAAAAAAACCUCCAAAAAACAAAAAAAACCUCACAAACAACAGCAAAAGAAAUUGAUGUCAGUGUAUAUCAUUAAUAUCAGGUUUUUAAUAAUCUUGGGGGAGCUAUGCAAAUUACUUUAUGCAACGUCUACAUGAUUCUCAUUACAUCUUUGUACUCACUUGGACAAAGGCUGAGUAACUCAAGGAAAGUUACGGAAAAAGGGACCAAAUAACCACCAUAUAUCUCAAUAAUUUACCUGGUGCCAAUCAUCUGUCAAAAAGAUGUAAGUUCGGUGCUCUUGUAAGGUGGUAGAAUUUAUUAUUUUAUAAUGGUUUUAUGUGAUUCUCAUUGCUUGAUCAUGAGUCAGAUUUAUUUUCUAACCAAAAUUAAUCUUGGACCCUUGCCUAACAACCUUUUAAUUAUUUUCUAGUUCUCUUAAAGUCUUGUUCCUUAACAUGAGAUUGUGUAUUUUCCUGCCUCUUCAGAAAAAAUUUUUAGGACUUCUUUAGCUUGGUGAUUUGUGACCUUAUAAAUAAAUACUAGUUAAAUGAAUGUUAGAUAAUUAGUGUAAAUUGAGUUUGAGUUUGAAUUGUUCAAUUAUCUUUAGGCACAAUUAUUAGUGAGGUGAUGCAUUCAAAUAAGAGUUGAUCAAACAAACAGAGCAAAGAAGGUGAUUUUUCUAGCCCAAUUCUUACACUCUCGCACUCAAAUGAUAACUUCAAGACUGAUUUGUCAAUGUGUGGUAUGAAAGCUUAAAAAAGACAGCUAUAUAUUACAGGGUCCUAAAGGUCAGGAAUUACUUCUCUGUAAGUACUUUUUUCAUUUUCUCAUACCACCUAAUAGUUCUGUAUCAUAGCAGGCCUCAAUACCUUUCUCUGCAAUAAUUGCCAUCACUACCACCAGACAUUCUGAAAUGAAAAUAAGUGGUUCUAACCUUUAAUAGUAUAAAUCUGAAAUUUUAAAAGCUAAGUUGUUAUUGAAUUAAAAUUUAAAACAACGUUAGUACUAAGGCCGACAAAACCCCUUUAACAGGAAAAGAUCAACAUUAAGUGACCUGUUUACUUAAAAUUAUACUUUCACUCAUAUUCAUACAGUAUAUUUUGUAAUCUCCAGCUGGCCCUCCAUCCCAAAUCUAUCUACUUACAAAAAGAGGGGUUCAUAAGUCGAAAUGCUAUAGAAGGAAGAAAUCUAAUUUUGACCUGGAGUCAAAUGGAUGCCAAAGGGAGUUUAUGGUUUUCUCUACUUUAUAAGCUGUAAUUGCAAAUACAGUUUCCUUCAUCUAAAAAACCAUUCCACCCUGAAAUUUUCAAACAAAAAUAGUUUUCAGAAACAUUGGCAAAAGACAUCUUCAAAGGAAACUAACUAGUUUGAAUUAAAAGGAAAAGGGAGGAGAGAGAUGGUGGAUUUUUUUUUUUUUUUGAUGGUGGAUAUUUUUAAAGGGAUUAUGUUUUCAAUAUUUUGGGCACAAGAUGUCUAAUUCCUAUUUUUUAAAGCAUUUCUCAUUUAAAAUGUAAAGUAGAUUAGUAACUUAUAUGUGCUUAAUUUGUAAAUAAGAUAAAAAUAGCAUAAAUGUGUAUAAGAUAACUUUAAGAGAAAAACAGUAAUAUAAAAAUCUUUUCUCUAAAUAUUAAAGAGAAACAAAGUUGUUAUCAGUAAAUGCCAUGAAAUACUGAAAUAGAAGGGUCCAUAUCAUAUAAUUAAUAUGAAUAUAGUAAUAGUAUGAAAUUCAGUGGCCAAAAGUAUUUUUGACUAAUUGUUUUUAUCAGAAUAUUUGAUAUUAUAACUUCAUAAUAACUUUAAUUUAAACAAAUUGUUAGUUGCACCAAUCCUGUUUAUUAUGGUGUAUCUGUAGGUUAAAUUUAAAAUCCUGACUAACUUUGAGAUUAACUGACAGAUCACCUUUGCUACAACUGUUGGAUAACAUUCAACAUAAGACAUGUUAGGAUUCCAGUUUUACAAAGUAGCAUAAUAUUUCAGUAGGUGAGAGGUUAGGGUAGUGUAUUCAGUGGAUAUGUCAUCACUUCUUACUCUUCAUCACAGAAGGUUCCAAACUUUAAUCUUCUCAUUCCUCUUUUCUUUGCAUUACAUAUAUAUAUAGUUUUUUGCUUGUUUGUUGGUUUUUUUGUUUUAAGUUCUUACACUAAACUACUUUUGAUUCCACAGAUUAUUGAACGUGGACUUUCAUUACCAAAACCAUGUUUGAGUGAGGUAGCACAGGGGAACACACUGAAUUAGUCUCAAUAUAUUUUGAGUUUACCUUUGAAUUAAAUAUAUCAAAUACUGAAAUGAUACCUGCAGAAAUGGAAACUGGAGACAUCUGAAUCUUUGGGGUGUCUCAGAUAUUUGACUGAAGGUUCAUUUAUCUAUUAAAUGGCCAUCCUAAUGUUAAGUUCAGAGGUUCUUAUUUAUUUCUAGGAGGAAAUAUUUAAAUACGUUUUUUUAAAGGAGCUGGAAAAAAUAUUCGGAGAAGCAUAAAAUCUUCCCAGAAAUGACUCUGUCAGGACAGGCUACAACAAUAGGUUUAGAAUGGUAAAGCCAAUUUCUGAAGUGAUAAUCCCCAAAAAUUCUGCCAAAAAGAAAUUGACUAACCAAGCCCAAAUAAACCAAACUCAAAACAAAAACUAUCAGAAAACAAAGGUAAUGUUUCAGAAUUGUUGAAGUUGUAACAGCCACUGUGAAUAUUCAGUUAGAUGACAUACCAUGAAGUGAGGCUAAAAGGUAUUUUGAUGCUGGAACCCUUAAAAGGGUAAAUGUUCUGCAGGCUGUCUUCAGGAAAUGAUAAAACAUGUAUGAUUACAGUCUGCAAAAUAUGCAAAAUAUAAAAGGUUCAGAGAAUUAGAACUUGAUUUUAGAAAAGUAAGAUUAGGUGAUAUUCUCUGAAAUUUGAAGAGAAUAUUUACAAGUAAAAUGGAAGUCUUUCUGAUGUGGUGUAUGUUGAAAAUAAAUGGCAUUAAGAAAAGUUAAAGAAUGUAAAGGGUACUUUUACCUUUGAUCACUAAGAGGGGAAGUUAGAGAUGGUUUUGUUAAGUCCUUAAAUGUUCAGGGUGACACUACUCAAAUCAUUCCCUAGGGCCACUCACAGAAAGAGAAUAUUAAAGUUGGGCUAGGCUCCUACCCAGCAGAACAAUUCAUAGAAUCUUAAUCUGUUAAGCUGGAAAGGACAUUAAAGAACACCUAGUCCAGCCCCCUCAUUUUACAGAUAUGGGAACUGAGAUGCAGAAUGGCUGAGUCAUUUGUCUAAUGUUAUGCACUUGGUGACAGGCUGGAAGAAAAAUAUGGUUUCUUGAUUCCUGGUCUGAAGUUCUUUCCACUUUCCACAUCUCUAUGCUCACUCAAAGCCAAAAACUAUGUUAUUCAUCAGGUGGGUUGCCUUCUUACAGAGGUGAGUGGGUUAAAUAGAGCUAAAUGCCAUUACAACUGUUAUGGUUAUUCAAGCUUGCUGACUUGAUCUGCCUGCUGUGGAUCUAUCUUCAACUACAAAGCCCUGCGAAAGAGUCCACUGUCCUGUAACAUAAUUGUUGUUUUUAGGUCAAAACAAUUAUGUGAAAGUUCUUGCAAGAAAAGUUCUCUUUUUGACACCCUUGUAUUCUUAUCCUUUCCCUAAGUAAUGGUGUCUUAUCUUAGAGAAUAAUGGAGCUUAGAUACCCAAAUGCCCUGUGCUGAACCCACUUGGCCAUUCUUGAUGUUUCAAUGAGGAGAGAUGAGGAGAUAAUCAAGGAAAAGAAUCUUCUAGUAUAUGGCUAUGCUUAAUUUAUGUCAUGGAGAAGAGAAGGAUUGUCUGUCAGGAUGGAAAAUAACAAAUGAGAAUUUUAAUUAAUUAAACAUUUUGCCUAUAAAAUUGGAUUAUAAUUAAUUGAUAUGUCCUUGAAUAGAAAUGCUUUUUUCCAUACAGUAAUCCCAUGCAGCCCCUUCCUACCAGCAUUUAAUGGUCUUGGUAUUUCGUGAUAAAUAUUUUCUUUCAAGUUAGAAAGAAAAACCUCACAUAUUUAAAAAAAGAGAAAGGUACUCCAAAUCCAUUAUGUUUGAUAUCAUUUUCUUUCUAUUUUAUUCUUCCUUUAGGUUUAGAAUAGAUGUAUAUCAAAUACAUUUUUUGGCCAAAUGCCCAAUGGCUCUUAGAUCAACAUUUUUCAGAGGCUAAUGCUAGAUACCAUCAUAGAAUGAACUCCUUAGAUAUAAAAAGAAAUGUGAACUAUAACUGCAACUAUGCUUAUAUAAUAAAAAACUUAGUAAUCAGAUUUUAAAAGUUUGACAUCAUGGUACAGGAAUAAAUAUUCAUAUUAUUAUCAAUCUAUAUCCCUAUUUCUCAAUUUAACAGCUUAAAUAUUCUUAUUUGUUUUCUGUAUAAGCUUACCAGCUUUCACAAUCUUCCCUAAUUUUGCAACACUUUGCUCUUCUAAUACUUACAGCACAUAAGGAAAUUUUAAUUCUAUGUUAUAUCUGUACAUUCAAAAUGAAUAUUCAAACAUUAAACAGUACAUUAGGAUGACCUUCCUUGUUGGCACAUCCCUUCUUUGCUGACUGUACAUGAUAGUAGCCUACAAAAGACACACAUGAUGAUGAUGAUGAGGUAGGUUUGUGGCUAUUUGACUUUCCAAAGGCCUAAGAGGAAGCUGUAGUUGAAACCAAACGGUAAAUCUUGGCUGAAUAUCAAAACUGAAGUCAAACUUCACUAUGUCUCUAAUUCAGAGUUUGGUAGAACAUUUCAAUAAGCACACUUAUUUUUUCUUUAUAGUUUAUUUUCUUUUCUUCCUUUUUCUGAAGAAAUAACUACAGACAUUUUAAACUGAAAUCCAUGAAUUCCUCUAAGAUCCACAAGAUGGUGCUAUAAAGUGGCAUUUAGAAAAUUUUGACAAACCAUAUGACUUCCUGGAGCAAAUACUUAAGCAUGGUCAAAUAAUUUUUUCUAUUUUUGGUUAGAAAUUUUUUAUUACAUCAAAAUUUUGGAAGUUCUCAGUCUUUUUUUUCUUCAUGUUACCUGUGUAUUACUAUUUCUCUAUAUUCUGCUUCUAAGAAUAUUUCAUGAAUAUAUUGAUUUACUUGAUGGUGUUCAGUAAGUUUUACAUUUCAUACUUUAAUUUUGUUCUGCAAUAUUAUAUUUUUGUGUUAUAUAUUUCAGGGUAUGUCACUUCAAACCAGUUAAUUGUAUUUCUUGUUUUGGUUUAUAUUAUAAUUGUGUAUGACAAUGUUUAGCUCUGUACAUAAGACGGUGUUGAGCAAAAUCAACUAUGAAUUAGCUAUAUGUCAAAUAAUUAUCAUUUAACAAUAUUGGCUACAGAUAAAUGCUGUUUUUAAAAGGCAACAGUAAACUACAUUUGUUAAAAUAAGGAAUGUAUACCUUUACUCUUAAUGUUGCUUUUAAAUAUUCUGUCUCAUAAAUUAUAUUUUUGUUCAUUCUGUUUUCAAUCUCGGAGUUUAAGACUAUUUUGUAAGAAGCUUAAUGAUUGAAUUUGGAUCUCAACAAGGCUAAAUUAUAUUAGAGAAAGUACUGGAUUGAAUUGGAGACCAAUCCCUGCCCUCCACCUGAACUGCUGUAACAGGUCUUCUUUUCAUCUCUUCCAGUGGUUCUUAAUCAAGGGCAAUUCUGCCCUUGGCGGGUCUUUGGCAAUGUCUGGAGACAUUUUUAGUUUUCACAGCUGUGGGGGUGGGGGUGGAGGGAGCUACUACUGUCAUCUAGUGGGUAGAGGCCAGGAAUGCUGCUAAGCAUCCUGUAGUGUACAGGACAGCCCCGACAACAAAGAAUUACACUGCUCAAAAUAUCAACAGUGCCAAGGUUGAGAAAUUGGCCUAUUCAUUCACCUCCUUGUUGUUGGUUUGUUUGUUCUUUCAUCAAUUUGUCCACACAUUCAUUCACUUGUGCAUGUACUUAUCCACCAUCUGUCCAUUAAUUCAUUCCUUCAACACAUUUUUACAAAGUGCUACCAUGAUUCAAGACUGAACUAAGGGUGGUAGUGGCUCAUGCCUAUAAUCCCAGCACUUUGGGAGGGCAAGGUAAGAAGAUUUCUUGUGGCCAGGAGUUUGAGAUCAGUCUGGGCAACACAAUGAGACUGGGUCUCUAAAAAUAUUUUAAAAUUUAGUUGGGUGUGGUCGCAUAAGACUGUAGUUUCAGCUACUUAGGUGGCUGAAGAGGGAGGAUUGAUUGAGCCAAGAAGGGCAAGGCUGCAGUGAGCCAUAAUCAUACCACCGUACACAGCCUGAGCAGAAGCAACCCUGUAUCUUAAAAAAAAAAAGGAGAUACAAAGAUAAGGAUUAUCCUGUUUCUAUUUAAUCUGACAGGGGAGAGAGAUGCUUAUGAAAUAAUCUAAACAACAAUAUGAUGUGAUCGGUGUUUCAUUUCUAAGUGUAAGAUGUUCUGGGAACAAAGAAAUUAACAAAUCCUAGGGAAGAGGAUAGAAUUCAGGAAGGCUUCAUGGAGAUGGGGAUUGUUUAUUGGAUGGGUGGGUGAGACCAUAGAAUGAAAUUCUGAGGAAAGCACAAGCAAAGCCAGAGAUGUAAUAAUCUAAAGUGUUUGAUGAGCAUGUACUGUUAGGGUAUGAAAUUAGAUUGAGGAGGGUUGGGAAAAAGAACGAAGAAAAUGCUUAAAAAAUUGAGCAGAACACUCUGGGAAGGGCCUUGGACUUCAUUCUCCAGGCUUGUAAAGUUUAGAAUAGGAUUGCGUGCGGCGGCUUAUGCCUGUAAUCUUAGCAAUUUGGGAGGCCAAGACCGGUGGAUCACUUGAGACCAGGAAUUCCAGAACAGCCUGACCAACAUGACGAAACCUGUCUCUACUAAAAACACAAAAAUUAGCUGGGCGUGGUGGCACAAGCCUGUAAUCCCAGCUACUUGGGAGGCUGAGGCACAAGAAUCCCUUGAGCCUGGGAGGCAGCAUUUACAGGGAGGUGGGGGUUGCAGUGAGCAGAGAUUCUGCCACUGCAUUCCAUCCUGGACAACAAAGUGAGACUCUGUCUCAAAAAAAAAAUUAAAAUAGAAGAGUGACAUUAGGCAUAUAAUCAUUACUCUCUUUAGGCCUGGUUUCAUACCUUUAAUGUGAGAAACAUGUCAGGUUUCCUGUAGCUUUAAAACUAUGUUAUUAUUAUAUAGUCAAUCUAUUACAUUUAUAUUACAACUAUCAAU